ensembl:lincRNA
UGAAAAGAUUAUUACAACAAAAGUGUAACAAAUAUAUUCACCCAAAGUUUUAUGUGACACAGGGAACUUCAGAUGUGAAGACCUAAAGACCCAGAACCAACUUGCAUUUUAUGCUUCUCUUCCAUGAAGAGUGGAUGUUGUAUAGCAGAAUGACUGCACAGAAAGGAGCUCUGGCACACUGGUAAUAAAGUGACGAGAACUUGGAUGCUCUUUCUCCUGGAAGUUGUGGAGCUCUGCUCUCACCAGGUGGCGGUUCUCGACUCUGCAGCACCCUUGACUGUGACACCUGCUAGUAGGAAGAGCUCAACAAUUUUCUUCAAGGACAACAUCUCAGAGCUGUUUACAGGUACCAACCGGGGCUUCAACAGAAACACCGAAUGUGGAUGGGAUUUAGGGGGUGUCGGGAGAGUUAACAAAGUAGUUUCCAAGGGAUGUGAGCUCCUAAGUGGUUCUUUCCCCCAAAAUGGGUUCCCUGAAGUUCAGAAGUAGAAGCCUUCUAAGUCGGUGGGUGGAGAACCAGGAAAAGGUAGAGACUGGCUCUGGAUUUAGGUUUAGUCAAUUGUCAAAGUUCUGAGGAGACUCUUCAGGUCCCCGAUCCAUGAUUCACGCCUCUGUGGUCAGACCUCGCGAGUCCCAGGCCCUGGGCUUUGGAGGUUACAGCUCAUCCUCCUGGCAGCUUUAGCCAAGGCCCACUGCUUAGGAAAUGCUCCAUUUUCCAGAGAGGGACUAAACAGUAAAAACUACAGGACACUUUCCCAUUAUAUAGUACUGUCAUGGGGUAACAUUGAAAAAUUCGGAACAAAUAGAGAAAAAGUAAAUUCCUCCCAGCCUGGGAAUAUUAAACCUUCUCAGGAUUACUCUUGGCUUGGGGACCCUGUGGGCCUUCCCCUCAGCCCGGACCCUGGCUGACCGACCACAUCUGUCUAGAAUAUCAACGCAGAGGGGCAAGACUUUGAUAUUUUGCACCAAGAGUUACAUUCUCUGCCCAGAAGUAACAGUCUCCUUCCCUCACUACCUAAACACUUAAGCACAGGGGUUCGAAAAAGGAAACUCCGAACUCUUAGGGUUAUCAGCGGGAGGUGCCGCACAGAGACGGGCGGCUUCUGCCCCCUUCUCUCCGUGGACGCGUGUUUACGGCUCUAGUGUCCACCACUGUCUGCUCGACUAACUUAAGUUCAGCGAGAAGAGCCACGCUUGGCACCGGGCGGCCGGACAGGAUCCCCCGCUCCGAUACUGGCCCCAAGCCCAGGCAGCGGAGGCUGGAAGGCUGGGGCUGGGCGUGAGCUUCCUGCCAGGUGGCCCGGUGGUGGAGACGGUAAGGUUGUUUCUAGGGAUCCCCUUCGGCCCACUGUCCCUUUGCUCAAUCCGGCUUCUGUCACCUUCUCUGUUGUCGCUCUGGUCCCCGUGUGGGCGAUGUGAAGGCUCCUUCCCGUGGGGUGGGCUCCCCAGGAAGACCCGGAGAGGCUGCCUCCCCCGGUGCUGCUCUGCCCCGUGCCUCAUUCGUCAGCCUCCCUUGCUCCAGACGCGUCCCGCUGGUACCGCCCCUGUUCAGGUCCCGAAAGGAUGAGCUUAGAUUGAGAUUCACAGCGGUGCCUGCGUGCAGCCGCGUUCCGUCCGGUUCGGGCCGAGUCCCGGCUGCGAGCGGAAGGUGAGACGCCCUCACUCGGCGACCCUCCAGCC